AGCUUUGCGCAGUGGCAGUAUCAUAGCCAAUGAGGUUUAUCCGAGGCGCAAUUAUUGCUAAUUAAAAAAAGGAAAAAGAAAAAAAUGUAGCCAUGUGAAAACUUAGUGGUUUGUUAUAUUACUACUACUUUUCAUCAUAGUUUAAAUG